ACGACACUAACUUCAGUGUGAACGCCCAUCUAGCCCAACUUGGAAUGUCUAGGAAUGUAAUUAUGCAAGUCUGAAUUUUCACUGUUGGCUGGAAAGUCUGUCAACGAGGUGGACAGCAGCAGGAAGCAAAGACCUGGUUCUAUCUUUCAUGCUGCCAGUGAACGUACGGCGAAUGCAAGCAGACAGACCCAAGA